rnacentral:other from 1 species
CAAGUCCUGAUGUGUUUGUCGUAUCACCUAUUGUUUUGACCGAACAAUGUGUGAUACGGGAGCCCGGGUUUUCAGGUGGCGUACAUGCCUCAUUUACAUAGAGAGGACGUACAUAAGCUUGAAACAGGCACCCACCUGUGAGAGAGCGGGUUCAAAACAAAGGCCAUCAGCGACGGCACGAUUGGGACUUAA